rnacentral:tRNA from 1 species
GGUCAUGUAGCUCAGUGGCAAAGCACUCACCCAGCAUGUGAGAGACCAGGGGUUUGAGUCCCAGCAAAAGAUCA